rnacentral:lncRNA from 1 species
UUGUAUUCAUAAUUGUCUAUGCUGAAGGUCACGGUGAUUACAUGGCGUCGAACAGUUUGUACGGUGAGACGAGUGGCUCUGGGUAAGUGCGAAGGCAACACCCAUCUAAAAGUCUGAAGCAAUGUGGCAACAUCUGUUAAGCAAUCUGUCUUUGACUUUACAUUUGUGGCCUUCCUUGGCGAACUCCUUAUUGCUGGGCUCUGCAACACACUAUCCGCCAACGACUCCGCUAAGGAAAGCAUCGCGCCUCGCUGCUCCAACGCCCAGGCAAAAUAACAACACAACAAACCGACCAUUGGACAAUUGGAAGUCGCUGGACGCGACUGAUAGGCGAUAAUGCUGCCACUUGACGGCAUUCUUGCAGAACCGCUCAUCAUGUUGAGCGCGACGACAUUUUCUGUUUUGCGCUUCAUCCGGCGGCCAUGCGCGACGCGCUAAAACACUAAGCGGAUCGUCUACCCGCACACGCGUUUGAUUCUGCACUUGGCGACAACUUUCUCGUUUGGGGCACCAGCUUACACUUUUGAGAAGUAUCAUGCAUGGCGAAUAAUUGGCCGGCAAACCCGCAGAACGACCUGCCCCUAUCCGUGAUUCGGCUGUCGGAAGGGUACCAGCGUUAUGGCGCAUAGCCGCAACCCACGCUAGCCGGAUGGCCACAACUUCCGGUGUAAUGUGUUGGUGAACCUGGUCGACCUCAUCUCCAUUAUCCCACUGAUGCGGGCGUCAGGCAGCCCCAAAGAGCCCCUUCGCCAUCGCUUUCAUAUGUGGCACUCUUCUCUCCUCCACAACCUCUCACACCUUUCCUUUCCAAAGAGCAAAACCACAAGCAGGCCCAAGCACAAUCAAUGCCUCGCCUUGUCGUCCGGCGGACUCCAGCUGUUAGACCUCCUGUAGGAUAUCCGCAGACGGCUCCAACCACAGUCCCACCAGUCGCCGUUACCCAGCAGCGCCUUUGCGACUCCACUGCUUCUCCUCAAUUUCGACCGCAACCUCAGCGACCUCUAUUUAGGAAGGGGCUGUGCCUCCCUCCCCCUCCUCACGUAUCAGCACCACACGUCUGUGGUUCUUCUUCCGCCCUCCUCCUCCUCUUCCUCCUCUGUUCUAAUCUAAUUACCUACUUUACCUCACCCAACAACACAAAGCCUCAAUAACAAUCGUUUUGCUAAAUAUAAACCCUGUCUUCCCAUUCCUUGGCAGCGCACAAACGCACAUGCGCACAUAUCGAGGCCCUCAGUUCAUCUGUACGCACUUCAAAAUUCAAAACUCCACCACCCGUAAUCGCAUCUUUAUUCACCGCCCCAUGGAUACUUCCCCCUCCAAACAUCAAAAUCGAUGCUCCUCCACAAAAAGCCCACAAGCCUUUUUACUCGGCGCGCCGGACAAUGAUCUGACCCACCAUCGCGUCAUGUCCCUUAACGGUGCAGCGCAGAGGGUACUUUCCGGGCUUCAUGGGAAUGAAGACCCAGGUAGCGGAGGCGCCCGCCUUCAGCGCCACCUCCUGAAUCCCUCCCUUGACCUCCACCGCCGGAUCUCCAGCUAGGACUAAGAUCGAGAAAACCUGGUGAAAUACAGCAGGGGAUUGUAUCACACGCGCGACCAGGGAACGCGACCGAGGGGGAGAGAUGGAGCCGCUUUUAGAGUCCCACCGG